CCGUGCUAGAUGGGGAGGCAGCGGUGCCCUGUAACCUGCAACCCGCUAUAGCAGGAUUGAAUUCCCUGCUCAGGUUUGCUUAUGUGAGGUCUGCCUCGGAAAAGUGGUGUUGAGGAUUGGGUCCCGCGCAACGGAAAUUCAUGAACCCCGUCAGGUCCGGGAGGAAGCAGCGGUAAGUGAACCCUUUCGUGUGCCGUGGGUGUGCCUGGUCGGAGCCAACUGCCCGGGUAACGCUCGGAUGAGCAAUAUCAAAGCAGGGUGCACGG
rfam:Caloramator quimbayensis strain TSBA 833 genome assembly, contig: Ga0105845_122